rnacentral:rRNA from 1 species
UACAGAGGGGGCAAGCGUUGUUCGGAAUUACUGGGCGUAAAGGGCGCGUAGGCGGCCUGCUAAGUCGCACGUGAAAUCCCCGAGCUCAACUCGGGAACUGCGUCCGAUACUGGCAGGCUUGAAUCCGGGAGAGGGAUGCGGAAUUCCAGGUGUAGCGGUGAAAUGCGUAGAUAUCUGGAGGAACACCGGUGGCGAAGGCGGCAUCCUGGACCGGCAUUGACGCUGAGGCGCGAAAGCUAGGGGAGCAAACGGG